UACGUAGGGUGCAAGCGUUUAAUCGGAAUUACUGGGCGUAAAGCGUGCGCAGGCGGUUUUGUAAGUUUGUCGUGAAAUCCCCGGGCUCAACCUGGGAAUGGCGAUGAAGACUGCAAGGCUAGAGUUUGGCAGAGGGGGGGUAGAAUUCCACGUGUAGCAGUGAAAUGCGUAGAUAUGUGGAGGAACACCGAUGGCGAAGGCAGCCCCCUGGGUCAAAAACUGACGCUCAUGCACGAAAGCGUGGGGAGCAAACAGG
rnacentral:rRNA from 1 species